UGGGGAAUUUUGGACAAUGGGCGCAAGCCUGAUUCAGCAAUGCCGCGUUCAGGAUGAAGGUCUUCGGGUUGUAAACUGCUUCUGUACGGAGCGAAAAGGUCCGCCCUAAUACGGUGGGCUCAUGACGGUACCGUAAGAAUAAGCACUGGCUAACUACGUGCCAGCAGCCGCGGUAAUACGUAGGGUGCGAGCGUCAAUCGGAAUUACUGGGCGUAAAGCGUGCGCAGGCGGUUAUAUAAGACAGAUGUGAAAUCCCCGGGCUCAACCGGGGACCUGCAUUUAUGACUGUAUAGCUAGAGUACGGUAGAGGGGGAUGAAAUUCCGCGUGUAGCAGUGAAGUGCGUAGAUAUGCGGAGAAACACCGAUGGCAAAGGCAAUCCCCUGGACCUGUACUGACGCUCAUGCACAAAAGCGUGGGGAGCAAACA
rnacentral:rRNA from 1 species